AGGUGAGUGGAUAAAUAUUUAACAUUGGUAAUUUUUAUUAAAUGUAUAUCUAUAUAUGUUAUUUUUCUUUAUACAAAAAUAGGAAUGGAUAAUGGUAAUUAUGUGUUUAUUAAUUAAAUGAAAUGAGAUUUAGAAGCACAGCUGAAUAAAUGACCAAAUACUCUAAAUAUAUGCACCAAAUAGAUAGCACUUCGAUGACAGGUGAUAUAAUUUCAGCUCAG
rnacentral:misc_RNA from 1 species